rnacentral:misc_RNA from 1 species
UUUCCGUAGGUGAACCUGCGGAAGGAUCAUUGAUGGGGCUGGGGAGCCAAUACCUAUUCAAACCUUUGUGAACCGGGUCGUUCUCGACCAAGUGAGGCUUGCCUUGCGCUUUUACACCCUUAUUAGUCCAGUCUAGAAAGAAAAAAGUUAUACAACUUUCAACAAUGGAUCUCUUGGCUCUCGCAUCGAUGAAGAACGCAGC